UUUUUUUUUUUUUUCUUUCUUUUUGAUGGACUCUUGCUCUGUCGCCCAGGCUGGAGUGCAGUGGGGGCAAUCUCAGCCCACUGCAAUCUCUGCCUCCCAGGUUCAAGUGAUUCUCCAGCCUCAGCUUCCCAAGUAGCUGGGAUUACAGGCACCCGCCACCACGCCCGGCUAAUUUUUGUGUUUUAGUACAGAUGGGGUUGCAUCAUGCUGGCCAGGCUUGUCUAGAAUCCCUGAUCUCAAGUGAUCCACCAGCCUCGGCCUCCCAAAGUGUGGGAUUACAGGUGUGAGCCACCAUGCCCAGCCAACACUAGAUACUUUUUAUAGGCUUAGUGUUUAAAGUCCAUGUGGAACUAGGAAACAAAACCUUAAGGCUUCAAAAGGAAGAAACUUGAAACUAAAACACCUGCAUAAAGUGUGAACCCUCAAAAGGCUACCUUUUAAUAAACGAACGGUGGGUCGAGGGGAAAAAUCCACCCAUCAGCACAGAGAGAUGAUAAGCAAGUUUGUCUUUGUAUGAGUUCUGGGAAAAACAUAAAAUUUCCCCUGAAAUAACUAAAGCCCAGGACCAUGCCACAUUAAUGUGCGUGCUCUGGGAAAGUCCAAAGAAGGAAUUACCAUAAAAAUUGUUCCUAGGCCAAUGAAAUUUCCAGGGCUUAGCAGAAACAAAUGCAAACUGGAUUUUGAAGGACACAGCAGAAGCCCAGGCCACAGUGACACCAGCAAGAUGGCAAACUAGAAGAUAUUAGGCUUCAUCCUCCCUCUCACACAAAAAAGAUAGUUAUCUAUGAAUGAUAAUAGCCUUAAGAGGGCUCUAGGGUCCAUUUAAGAAUUUACAGCAACAGAUUAGAUUUAAAAAGAAAAAAAAGAAAAAUAAUUACACAGAAAUAAUUUCUGGGGAGAAUGGUGUACCUAAGACAUCUGGAGAUGGCUAGAAACAAAGACAGGCAGGAGCUAUUCAGAUCAGCCAGGCAGUAGGUGGCCGGCUCUGAGAAAACAUGGGCAUUUUCACCACUAAGGCAACCAACAGCCAUCCCUGCUGCAGACUCCCAAGGAGAAGAUGCUGCUGCAUGCCACCUUGCACACCAUUAUCAGUGCAGCAAUGAGGAUGCCUGUGCCCUAAGCACACCACGCCAGACUCAAGCCAUGGUUCCUCCACAUGUGACCAUGCUUCAGACCCCAACUCUGUGCCUUUUUUCCAUGGACACUAUACAUCAGACACUGGUGCCACUACCACUGCAAGCAUGCCCUCAAGAUGAACCUGGCAAAAAAGAGAGCCUUUUAGCCAUGACUUCCCCAGUGGAACAAAAAGAGAUUGGAAGGACCACAAUAGCCUUCACCACUGAAGACCCU
ensembl:lncRNA